UACAGAGGGGGCAAGCGUUGUUCGGAAUUACUGGGCGUAAAGGGCGCGUAGGCGGCCUUCUAAGUCGAACGUGAAAUCCCCGGGCUCAACCCGGGAACUGCGUCCGAUACUGGAAGGCUUGAAUCCGGGAGAGGGAUGUGGAAUUCCAGGUGUAGCGGUGAAAUGCGUAGAUAUCUGGAGGAAUACCGGUGGCGAAGGCGGCAUCCUGGACCGACAUUGACGCUGGACGGCGAAAGCUAGGGGAGCGAAUGGG
rnacentral:rRNA from 1 species